rnacentral:lncRNA from 1 species
AUUCAAAUGCUACAGUACAGGGGCAGGGGGUGUGGCUCCAUGGCACGGUGCUUGCCCGGCACUGGAAAUGAGUAAAUAAAUGAGCUAGCUAUAUUAAGGUCCUUAAUCUGAGGUCCACAGAUGGAGUGUUUGCCAUGUCCAAUACUACAUGCAAAAAUACACGCGUCUAUUUGAGGAUGUUUUUCUGGAUGGAAAGUCUUUAAAAAAAUUAAAAAGACAAGAAAAAUACUCCAAUUCCCUUCCUCGGCUCCCUGGAAGUUUCUUCACCGCUACUUGACAUAUCAGUGUUUUAGGAGAUUAUUUCUGGUAAAACACGCAUGGCUUCUGAUCUUAUGAAACUGUUUUCCUAGACGUCUAAAGAACUAAUACGUGUUAGAAAAGUCACUCACAGCACUCCUGUGUGAGAGAAGGGGAAGAUGACACCGGGUCUUCGGUGACACAGACACAGACACACAUUCCUGGGCACACCCAUUCACAAGUGUCAGGAGCACUCCAAACCUUAUAGGGAGGAAUAGCUGAAUGGAGCUGAUAACAGCCAGGCGCCAGGCCCGAGGAAGAGGUGCGGGCGCCCAUUUCAAGCCAUUGAAAAGUUCCAUAGGGGGGAGGGGAAAUGGCACGGCAGGAAAUUCCUGACCAGCUGUGUAACUGCUUACACCAAUGCGUUGGCAGAUAAGUGCAUUUUUGUGAUUCUGCUUCGGCCCCAUGUUUAUGGCCUCUUCUGAUAUGUCAUCUGGCUCAUGUAUUACAGCUCCGUCCGGACACCAUCCAACGGUACGAUUCAACAAACCGUAGCUUCAUCUUGAUCACCUGGAAAUGCUCUUGGCCUUUGCAAAAUGGACGAAGAGGCUAACAAUGAAAAUACUGGAGGAAAUUUGCUCUAAGUUAGUCCCCAGAGAAACCAUUAGGUCGGGGAUUUCAUAAACCGUGCUGUAAUUUGCUACAAUU